UCCGGCGAGAUCCCAGCACCGCGCAUCCCAGCACCAAGGACAGCGGCGGUCCAGUUUUAAAAAAAAAAAAAAAACGGGAAGUACGCCGUAUUGUUUGGGAUGUGGCUGGAAUGCAGCCGGGGGUAGCUUGAACCAAGCGAGGCUGUUUUUCCCCUGUUCGCCCCUUGUUGGAAAUACAGAAGGCUGUUUACCGCUGACAUCUCUCCCUACCCCCGGAGCCUGAGCGAUCUUUGUACAGUGUAACAGGGAGGGGUUUUAUAGGGACCGUGGCUCUCUCAAGGUUGAAUGGAACCUAGCUGUAUCCAGUCAGCGAUGGCUAUGGGGUUAUCCUCUAAAAAAGCAUCUUCUAGAAAUACUGCCGUGGAACGAAAAAACCUCAUCACGGUUUGCAGGUUUUCAGUGAAGACGCUACUGGAGAAAUACACAGCAGAGCCGAUCGAUGACUCGUCCGAGGAGUUUAUCAAUUUCGCAGCCAUUCUAGAACAGAUACUGAGCCAUCGGUUCAAAGGCCCAGCCAGUUGGUUCAGCUAUGAUGGUCAGAGGAGUUUUUGGGAUUUCAUCCGAUUGGCUUGUGGCAAAGUCCCGAACAACUGCGUCACUAGCAUUGAGAACAUGGAAAACAUUAACACUUCCAGGGCAAAGGGCCGUGCCUGGAUCCGAGUGGCACUGAUGGAGAAGCGCCUGUCUGAAUACAUCGCCACAGCACUGAGGGACUCCAGGACAACCAGGAGGUUCUAUGAUGACGGUGCGAUCAUGGUGAGAGAGGAAGCCACGGUGCUCACGGGGAUGCUAAUUGGUCUGAGUGCGAUAGACUUCAGUUUUUGCCUGAAGGGUGAGGUAAUGGAUGGAAAGACAUUGGCAGUGAUUGACUACACCCCCUACCUGAAGUUUACCCAGAGCUAUGAUUAUCUGAGCGAUGAUGAGGACAGGCAGAGUGUGGACAGCAGCACCAGUGACGAGAGCAUCUCAGAGCACCCCUACCUCCCCCUGGUCCCCGACGACGAGAGCUGGGCCAACAAGUGCCGCAAGAUGGAGCAGAAGUUCAAGAUCGUCUACGCACAGAAGGGGUACCUGGAGGAGCUGGUCAGGCUGCGGGAGUCCCAGCUCAAGAACUUGGAGGUCGAGAACAAGCAUCUGCAGCUGCGUGUGGAGGAGAUGAAGGUGCAGAAUCAGCUGGAGAAGAAAGAGAUGGAGGGCAUCGUGCUUGAACUGCAGGAGCAGCUGACUGGUCUGAUUCCCUGUGACUCCAAUCAUUUGUCUAAAGAGAUGACAAUCCCACUAGUGAACCAGUGGCCUUCUCUGGGGGCCUUCAAUAAUGAAGAGGACGUCAAGCUCUACAGAAGAAGUUACCACAGCGCAGAGCAGCUCUCCGCAGAGAUCAGUCUGGACUCGGACUCCCAGAAGAUGGAGGGGAAGCAGAAUGGACAGUCUUGGUGCACUGCAGGAAACAAGUUUGCAAAAAGCCAUGCUGGACAGGAUACUCCCGAGAGUGCAGAGAGCAGGUGGAGAGAGAGGGGAGCGGGGCGCAGUGUGGAGGUGCAGUGGGAACAGAGCAGGAAAAAUAAUCAGACUUGGUAUGUGUUAUCAAUCAGCUAACCCAAAAAAACAACCAAUGUCACUUAAAUCCUAUAGUAAAACACCCCUACGACUUCAAUUGAGUCUAAACUGUACAUCCAGUACACUGCAACAGUGCGGCCAGAGCAGGUUAAAAGAGCUGAUGUACUUAGAAAUGAUUCUGAGAGCCCUGCUGAAGCCAUAGGGGUGCUUUAAACUUCUGAGUCACCAGGAACUGGAACGGAAAAUGGUGAAAAGAGAGUCUAAAGAACAAGGUAGUCAAGUGAAAUCUGAUGUUUCAUAUCCAAACCAGGUGUCCCUUCUAAUGUGAAUAUUUCUCAUUUCUAUUCUGUGAAUACAAUUUGUUUGGGGAUCUGCGCAAAAUCUAUUGUGCAAUGCAUAGCCCUGGAGCAAAGGAAAAGUAAAGCAGCUGUACACCCCCCAAAAAAACAUUCACAGCAUAGAUAUUACACAGGAAAAAAUGGAUAUGGAAAUUGAGGGAACCAAGAAAGCAUUAGCGUUUAUUUGAAUUCUUGUUUUAUAUAGUAGUUAAUGAUGGUAUAUCUGGUAUCAGAACAUACAAGUGUUUUAGUCUAAAUAGCAUUUUAAAACACAAUGCCACCUAAUGUUACUUACUUAAUUUAAUAUUUUUUUAUGUUGAAGUCAGAAUUUCAUAUGUUUGAAUGAGCCAAAUUGUGUAUCAAUUCCAAAAAAAAGAGUUUUGCUCAAAAAAUGUGUUAACUGAAAAUAAAGGACAAUUUGGGUUGAAUUGGUCUCUGAGUGUCUCCCCUGGUAAAGGCAUGGCCGCUUUGGGUGUAGUCGUGAAGUCAAGUCUCAGGUCUUCGUUGAGGAUUUCAAAGGGAGCAUUGCACUACAGCAGGCCUUAUUGGCCAGGCACAUGGCAAAGACUAUACCCCAUCAAUGCUAGGUCUGUGCGGCUCUCUGGCUUCUCUCCCCAGCUGUAAGUCUCUGCCCAGCCUGAA